ensembl:snoRNA
UGCAGCCCCAUCAAAUUCAGUCCCUCUCUCCUCUUUAGCGGGAACUGGCCAGCUGGCUGCCCCAGCAACUUCUGUCAUCUGUGGGACCCUGGGGAUAAAAUCACACUGCAGACACUG